rnacentral:lncRNA from 1 species
UUACUUUCCUUCUUCUUCGUCAUAACCAUCCGUAUCAAUUUUGCAACCGACCUUGAUUAUUCUCGCUGAUUGAUCGGGAUUACGAGAUGAUUUCCUUGUUUCUAUUUUUCAAGAACCAUUUCCAUAUAUGCCGAAACAUUCCAACGCUAUAAGAACCGAACCUCCACCAUCGAUUUUACUCACACUCGAACCUGCUUUGGACAUCUAACUCGGAACCACAACUCACCGGAGAAUCCAGAAGUUGCCGGAGCGCCGAGCACUGCGUCGGAAACCAACCGAAGUUUACGACGGAACUCGUUCCUUUUCAUUCGGUAUGACUUCUUGAUCUUUUGUUUCCUCGUUUAAACUCUCGUUUUGAUUUCUUGUUCGACACUAACCCGUCCCUUUGCCGUUUACUACACGUUCAUCGUUUCGUCGAGGAUUCGCCGGAAUUCAGAAGUGUCGCCGGAGACAAGAAAAAGAAACAUAGACGACGACGGAACUCGAUCUCUUUCCGUUUCGAGUAGAGACCUGGGGUGGGUUGAAGAUGAAGAUGAUGAUGGUGUGAUGAAGGGUUUUCAGGAAGUUUGUCGAUAUGUGCUUUGAGUGCAGAGGGCACGCUUGGUUCGCAUGAUUUGUAUGACAUGCAACUUAAAGAAGAUACACGCGGUAUUCUAAACAAACACGGGUUUGAUCAACCAUUGUUGAAGUAUUACUGGAGGAGGGCGAUGUUACAAAACGUUCCCAUGAGAGUUGCUCCUGGGGGUCCAGAUGGUCAUCAUCAUUGAAAUGAACUUGUGUUCAUACAUUUAGUUUCUCUUUUUGGUUUUCAUGUUGUACUUCAGAUUAAGAAUUAAGAUAAAGGUAACAGUUUCUUUAUUUUAUGUGUUUAAUUAGUUGUAAAACUUUUGAGCAAACAUCACGUAUCUUAGCAAGUACGGAUUAUCUUCUGAAAUUAACUUUUUUUA